AUACGGAGGGUACGAACGUUAAUCGGAAUUACUGGGCGUAAAGCGCGCGUAGGUGGUUCGGUAAGUGGGAUGUGAAAGCCCUGGGCUCAACCUGGGAAUUGCACUCGAUACUGCUUGGCUAGAGUAUGGUAGAGGGUAGUGGAAUUCCUGGUGUAGCGGUGAAAUGCGUAGAUAUCAGGAGGAACAUCAGUGGCGAAGGCGGCUACCUGGACCAAUACUGACGCUAAGGUGCGAAAGCGUGGGGAGCAAACAGGAUUAGAUACCCGAGUAGUCC
rnacentral:rRNA from 1 species